CAAUAGCGUAUAUUAAAGUUGUUGCAGUUAAAAAGCUCGUAGUUGGAUUUGUGGCGUACGGUGUGUUCCGGGCACUUGUUGUCUGAGUAACCUGCUGUUGCCAUCCUUGGGUGGAACCUGUGUGGCAUUAGGUUGUCGUGCAGGGGAUGCCCAUCAUUUACUGUGAAAAAAUUGGAGUGUUCAAAGCAGGCUUAUGCCGUUGAAUAUAUUAGCAUGGAAUAAUGAGAUAGGACUUUUUUGCUAUUUUGUUGGUUUGCGCAAGAAGGUAAUGAUUAAUAGGGACAGUUGGGGGUAUUCGUAUUCCAUUGUCAGAGGUGAAAUUCUUGGAUUUUUGGAAGACGAACUACUGCGAAAGCAUUUACCAAGGAUGUUUUCAUUAA
rnacentral:rRNA from 1 species